ncrna:Cricetulus griseus (Chinese hamster) microRNA cgr-mir-325 precursor
GUGCUUGGUUCCUAGUAGGUGCUCAGUAAGUGUUUGUGACAUAAUUCGUUUAUUGAGCACCUCCUAUCAAUCAAGCAC